AUAUGUAGUGUAGCCUAUACAAUUUCCAAAUAUGUGUAAAUGUUUAUUAAGUUUACACAGGCAGAAUCAUUUUACAAUCGUACACACAAAUCUAUAUUAAACAACACACCAGCAGCACAAGUAACAUUACAUGCGAAAAAUAUUUUGAGUGGUUGAACUUGAGACUUCGGAAUUCAAAUGUCUCUUCAACUUGGUUUGUGACCAAUCAGAUUUUGUUGCUCACUGCCUUCAGCCAAUCAGAGCUGCUGACGUCAUGGUACUCGUCUGAAUCCCCUCGCUCAGUCACUCAGGUCAAUUAUAAUGUCGCAAUGUAUAAUUUAUUUAAUAAAACACUGAAAGCGCAAUACAUUGCUCAGUUUCGGGAAUUCUGACCAGUUCAAUCAAGUGACAUCGCAGACUGACAGAUGGCGACGACAACGGGCUAGGAAUUUAAUGGUACGCGAUCCUGAAAGAACCGGAGAAAAGUGCUGCUAUCUGGAGAUGCUGUUCUUCACGAGUUUUUGCAGUCACUGUGUAAGCGGCCAUCAGACACAAUCAUGAGAAGCUCAUCAGAAAAUGAAAUAUAAUGUGUAAUUUGUAUUUGUGUAUAGAGGGUCACCAUUGGUCCAAUCAUUUUUUUUCUUUAAUGAAAAACAUGGUAAGUUUUGCUGAAUCUAUGUUAAGUUUAAAUAAAAACCAUUGGAUUUGUCAAUGAAAUAUGUCUCUUCAUUAGUGAUGUUGUUACAUUUUAUUUAUUUUAAUGGCCUUGAAAACCAAUGCUUUCAACUUUG